GAUGAACGCUGGCUACAGGCUUAACACAUGCAAGUCGAGGGGAAACGACGGGGAAGCUUGCUUCCCCGGGCGUCGACCGGCGCACGGGUGAGUAACGCGUAUCCAACCUGCCUCUGACUGAGGGAUAACCCGUCGAAAGUCGGCCUAAUACCUCAUGGCAUCGUCUGCGGGCAUCCAACGACGAUUAAAGAUUUCAUCGGUCAGGGAUGGGGAUGCGUCUGAUUAGCUAGUUGGCGGGGUAACGGCCCACCAAGGCGACGAUCAGUAGGGGUUCUGAGAGGAAGGUCCCACACAUUGGAACUGAGACACGGUCCAAACUCCUACGGGAGGCAGCAGUGAGGAAUAUUGGUCAAUGGGCGAGAGCCUGAACCAGCCAAGUAGCGUGCAGGAUGACGGCCCUAUGGGUUGUAAACUGCUUUUAUGCGGGGAUAAAGUGAGGGACGUGUCCUUCAUUGCAGGUACCGCAUGAAUAAGGACCGGCUAAUUCCGUG
rnacentral:rRNA from 1 species